CUUGAGGCAUACUGGAUACGUGACCUCUAGCAGGCUACCAAGCCGAUAACGAGGGGUGGAGUUCCAUCGAGCUUCAGUCUCCUCCAAGGGUCGCUACAGCUCUGAGGUCGCCUUGGCAUACGCUGGGAGCCUCGUAUACACUCGAGAGCGGUGCGCGGGGCCGGCCAGCAAGGCUGAACAGCGCAGGGAUAAUCAAGUAAUACGCCAGCUACUGGUCCUCUCUUCUCCGCUCUGCCUGCCUACCUGUGGCUGGCUACGCUCUCCGUCAGUGGUGACCUUGCUGCUCCGCCUUGCCAGCUUCUCUACGUAUUCCCGGUGGCUCCGUAGAGGCGAGACACCUGGCCACCGAAGAAACCUUCCCGUGGCCGCAUUAUCAGCAACAGGAACUCUCUCACGAACUCUGAAGAUGCACAGCGAGAGACGCCAUAUAGUAAAACAGGUCACACCAGACUUGAAUUUUUGACCUAUGACAUGUGAAAGAAAAAACUAAGGAACCAUGAUCGCUUGAGUGAGUCACUAACCGAGGGCGCGAUGUAAGCGGAGGAGUGUUCUGGCCCCGGACGGCUGCCCCCGGCGGUCUCCUGGUACGCCCCCAUGCGCCUGCUUCUGCUCAAAACUCAGCAUGUCAUUGACCGUCGUGUAGUGGUCGCCAUCCUCACUCUUUCGGUGCUCUUGUAGAAUCUUCACCUGCGAAUGACGCCAAGCUUGAAUCUGGCUUGGCGCAUGACCUGCAGACGUAGCCGGAGGCACCUGGAUAUGGCUGAGGUGUAAGAUGCGAGGAUACUGGUGAAGUUUAGUCAGUUAAGUUUGUUGGUCCAAAAAACGGGAAUGUCUUUUUUUUUUUUUUUGUGUGUGUGUGUGUGUGUGUGUAACUAAAAAAAUAAAGUUUGUUGGUCCAAAAAACG